rnacentral:rRNA from 1 species
GUAGGGAAUAUUGGGCAAUGGAUGCAAGUCUGACCCAGCCAUCCCGCGUGCCGGAAGAAGGCCCUCAGGGUUGUAAACGGCUUUUGACGGUGAAGAAUCGACAGGAUGCGUCCUGUUUUGACGGUAGCCGUUGAAUAAGCACCGGCUAACUCCGUGCCAGCAGCCGCGGUAAUACGGAGGGUGCGAGCGUUGUCCGGAUUUAUUGGGUUUAAAGGGUGCGUAGGCUGGAAGGUCAGUCAGCGGUGAAAAGCUGUCGCUUAACGAUAGUCUUGCCGCAGAUACUUCCUUUCUUGGAUGAGGAGGAGGCCACUGGAACGGAUGGUGUAGCGGUGAAAUGCAUAGAUAUCAGCCAGAACACCGAUUGCGAAGGCAGGUGGCUGUACCUUAAUCGACGCUGAUGCACGAAAGCAUGGGGAGCAAACAGGAUUAGAAACCCGAGUAGUCC